UUGGCCUCUCAAAGUGCUAGGAUUACAGGCAUGAGCCACUGCGCCCAGCUCAUAAUUUUUUUUAACUGAUAUUUCCCUAAAUAUAAAAACCAAGAAUAACCCUCACUUUUGACACUAUAUGUUAUGAUGAGAGCCUUAGCUGCUUUUUAUUUCAAGACAUUCUCCCCACUUCACUGCUACAGGUUGACCAUCCCGAGUCCAAAAAUCUGAAACCUGAGGUACUCCGAAGUCCAAAACUUUUUGAGGGCUGAUAUGACGCCCAAAGGAAAUGAUGAGUGGAGCAUUUUGUAUUUUGUGUUUUUGGAUCUGGGAUGCUUAACUGGUGAGUCCCAGGAACAUCCAGCCAAAGGCAAGUUCUUUGGGAGCCCAAGCUCAUGGCAGUGACAGCUCCCCCAGGAGACGAGAGGUGAAACUGAUGCCUGCUUCCUGCUAUGUUAUUUUGUCUUUAACACUUGCCAGUUUCUGGGCUUGUUGAAGGCCUAUGUUAGGGACUGUGUGAGACUUUCUGAGAGAUCACCACCUAGAUAUGUGAUGUCACACAAAGUGAGUAUUGUAAUGGACCUCAGUGAUCUAGCUCGAAACCUCUUGCUUACAGACGAGGAAACUGAGGCUCAGAGAGGGGAAGUGGUUUGCUCAAGGUCAAGCGGCAAUGACUGGCAAUGCCAAAAGUUGGCCCCAAGGCUUCUGACUCCCCACUCCGUGCCCUUCCCUCACCCUAAAUGUCUCAGAGAGCAUGAACCUGUGCCCUUUAUCGGAGGAGGGCAGAGACGGCUCAGCCUGAGCCCAUGGGAGUUCAGCCCAGUUCCCUGCUUCCUGGGUUUGUCCAGCCUACUCUGAAGAGGCCAGGCCACCUGCCUAUUCCACCUGGCAUGUCCUGCUUAGGUGAAUCAAGCUGUACCAGGAUGAGGAAGCCACAGAGUCACUUCCCAGAAGGGAAUAAUGCUGUGUGCUAGAGGAUGAUGGGGUGGGAGAGAUGGGAACAGACUUGGACUUGCUGUUCCUAGGGUGCUGAGGCUGAGAUUCCUGAGGUGGGGGAGGCCCUGCCCUUCACUGUGGCUGUUUUCCAUCUGGGCAUUGACUGUGUCUGCUAAAUGGGACAUGCCCAGCAAUGUCCUUCUGCCGUGACACCUUUGGUGAAUUUCCAGGCAUAUUAGAACUGAGCCAGUGGUAGCUUUGGCUCCUCAGCUCUUCUGCUGCAGUGGCUGGCUGUCCUCAGGACAGCUGGAUUGGAUUGGGCAUUGUUCUAGCAGAUCUGGGAUGUUCCAGGAACCGCACUAUAAAUUCUGUUGAGUAUUGGCUGAGUGUGCCAGGAAGGGCAGGGGGCCAAGGACUUGGAUCCAUUUGGCAAAGUUACUCUCAGCACCUCUUGAAGAAAGCACUAGAGAGAGAGGGGCUCAGAACCUUGCCUGGGCAGGGUCAGUGGGGAAGCAGUGGGUCAAGGGAAGAUAACAUGAUGGCAUGCUUCAUGAUUUACCAUGUGUUUUCCCAUAUAUUAUUUCAUCUAAUCCUUGCAAUAGCCCUAUUGUCAUUUCCAUUUUAAAACUGAAGAAAUGGGGACACAGAAAGAUGAAAUGACUUUGCCCAGCACACUUUGGAGUCAGAUUUGAAUCCCACCUGUCACUAUCCACCUGUGGGAUCUUGAGCAAGUUAGGUUACCUUUCUGAGCCUUGAUUCCUGCCUGUACAAAGGGGAUAAUGCUGCUCACAUGGAGGUUUGUUUAGGCAGCACAGCACUUGCCUGGAGCAAGAGGCCAGGGACUGACUUUUUCCUUUUCCCCUGACCUCAAAUCACACAGCCCAAGACAGUGGAGUUGGGCCUGGGAUUGAACUUCUAUUCCAUUUUUAGUGUCUUCUCCCCCUUACUCUUUGGUAUAUGUGAGAUAAAGCUGGCAGUUUUGGAAAAGGAAUUCUUAUUAAGAAAUAAAGGGGAAACAUGGAAAUAGA